GGCUGGCCUGAAGGUAGUGAGUUAUCUCGAUUGUUCACAGUCAGUUACAGAUCGAACUCCUUGUUCUACUCUUUCCCCCCUUCUCACUACUGCACUUGACUAGUCUUUA
rnacentral:Y_RNA from 1 species